rnacentral:lncRNA from 10 species
CUCAGCCUCCCAAGUAGCUGGGACUACAGGCGCCCGCUCCGUGCCCGGCUAUGUUUUUUUGUAUUUUUAGUAGAGACGGGGUUUCACUGUGUUAGCCAGCAUGGUCUCAAUCUCCUGACCUCGUGAUCUGCCUGCCUUGGCCUCCCAAAGUGCUGGGAUUACAGGCGUGAGCCACUGCGCCCGGCCCCCUCUGAUUCUUUACAGAUUGUUAUGGAAGACUUUUACUAAUCAGUGGGCCUCUGAAUAUUGAAAUCAGCCUGAGGUGAAGGCUUGAGUCUUCUUUUCCUAGGGAGGGAACCAGGAAAUAAGCCGCUUCUUCCUGACCUUGCUGCACUAUGCUGGAGAGGGCUUGUGGCAAGACACCCAGAGAAUCUCUCUGCACCACGUAUUCCAGCUGGAGGUGGCGUCAGCAAUUCUGGACUGCUUUUUCUAUCUUUUCAGUGCCUCAUUCAGUGAUGUCAAGUUAAAACCAGAAACGAUGGGUGUUCACCAGAUUUUUGGUUCUUAUGAAGGGACAUGGAUGGAGCUGGAAACACUUAUGCUCAGCAAACUAAUGCAGGAACAGAAAACCAAGAACCACAUAUUCUCACUUAUAAGUGGGAGCUAAACAAUGAGAAAACAUGGACACAUGUGGGGGAACAAAACAUACCGGGGCCUGUUGCAGAAGCAGGCAGGGUGAGGGAGAGCAUCGGGAAGAACAGCUAAUGGAUGCUGGGCUUAAUACCUAGGUGAUGGGUUGAUCUGUGCAGCACAUCACCGUGGCACAUGUUUACCUAUGUCACAAACCUGCACAUCCUGCACCUGUACCCCUGAACUUAAAAGUUGAAGAAGAAAAAAUAAAUUUGCAUAUAGUAAUUUUUAGGAUACACUGUUAGGGUCAAUACAUUUCAUACGGUUUUAACGUAUGGCUCAUCUUACCCUACAAGGAAUAUUGGAAAAUUGUCUGGGGGCAAAAGAGCCUGACCUUUGUGCUGUCAUGUUGACAAGUCUUGUGAGGAAAGCGGCCCUGGAAAGGCACGUGCCUCUGUGCAAAUUACUUUCCAGCAGAGGUAAUUCCCAUAGAGGCUAAUAGUUAAAGGCUUUGUGCCAAGCCUCACUCCACACAGCUAGAGGAAAGAAGUGCCUCAUUUAUUUAGGAAAAUCUGGGUGAAUCAUCAAGGCAUUCACCACAGUUUUCACAUUUGCUUAUGGUUGUUUUGCCCUCAGUGUUUUCAUGUUCAUGUAUUGGCCUCAGGAUUCCUGCACCAGAUGAAUGAUAUAAAAUUGAAUCCAUAUGCCCAUUUGGUGCAUACCUUGAACAUUGCUUUAACUUUUACACAGAAUAUGUUUUUGUUUGUUUGCUUGUUUCUAGAAGUUCCAGGAAAAGAAACAAAUUUCAUGUAGCUUCUUUACACCAAGGAGAAAAAUCUUUCCCAUUUUUUUCAAUUGAAGGGUCAGCUUGUUCAGGGUCCCAGAUUUGUGCUAUUUCAAAGAUAAAUCCCUGAUUUACCUUGAUGAAAGCCAGAUAUCUUAUCUCCACAUAGGUAUUAGCCCCUAUCACCUAAGUCUAUACCAUAUUCAGUAGAAUUUCCCUUGAUCGCUUAGAGAUUUUUUUUUCUGUCAUCUGAGGAUUUGCCUUUCUUUCCAGCAGAUAUAUUUUUAAGCAUUUUGAUCACAUAGAAGAAACAUUUGUAAAUAUUUUAGCAUGCAGUGUUGUCCACAUUGACUCUGUCCACAGUUUUUUGAAACAAAAUUCUCCAAAAUGUUUCCAAUUCUCUAUAGCAUGGUAAAAUGUUACAUUAACUUUUCUUCCUUCUUUUUGUCAAUAAAGCCAUGCUGACAAUUUAACUAUGUGCCUGGAGCUAGAAUAUAAAAUUUAUAACAUCAGGUCUUUAUCUUAGGUUUUUAAUCAAUUUUGGAUCCUUUUGUAGAGAAGCUCGAUAUUCUCAACUAAAUAUCGUAAUAGUAUAUUUGAAUCUAAUCGUGUAAACUAUUGUGGUCAUGCUUAUAAAGUUUCUUGACUUGACCUAAUAAAAAGACUGAUUAUAUGCACUAAAGUACAAAUAGUUAUUUUAUCCAUGUUAGAUCAUUACCUCAUAAAUUGAACAUAAUUAUUAGUAAUAAAAUAUCUUUAACUUAUAAAUACACAUAUGUAUAUGUAGAUUCUCUCUAUAUUCUCUCUAUAUGUAGACUCUCCAGUACACAGUCAAAAUGAAAGAACAAUUGAAACCCAAAACAUGUAUCAUCUCUCUGAAGCAGUUAAAGAUGUGUUCUGGCAAUUUGAGGUCUAAGCAAACAAUAAUGAUGAGGCUGGUAAUGGGAAAAUUAGUAACGGGGCUUUUAAAUAAUUUUUGAAGUUUCUAUGCCCUUGAGUUAUUUUAAUAAUGAUGAUGAUGAUAUUUUAGAGAUGCUGUCUUAUUCUGCUACUCAAGCUGGCCUUGCAUUCCGGGGCUCUAGCUAUCUUCCAGCCUCAGCCCCCUGAGUAGCUGGGACUAUAGGUGCAUGUCACUGUGCCCUGACCCUGAGCCAUUUUACUUGUAUUGAUACUUGAGAGCUGAUUCACAUGAGAUUAUGUGUUUU